rnacentral:rRNA from 1 species
AAUGAACGCUGGCGGCGUGCCUAAUACAUGCAAGUCGAGCGAACAGACGAGGAGCUUGCUCCUCUGACGUUAGCGGCGGACGGGUGAGUAACACGUGGAUAACCUACCUAUAAGACUGGGAUAACUUCGGGAAACCGGAGCUAAUACCGGAUAAUAUAUUGAACCGCAUGGUUCAAUAGUGAAAGACGGUUUUGCUGUCACUUAUAGAUGGAUCCGCGCCGCAUUAGCUAGUUGGUAAGGUAACGGCUUACCAAGGCAACGAUGCGUAGCCGACCUGAGAGGGUGAUCGGCCCCACGGGAACUGGCAGUAGGUCCAGACCCCUACGGGAGGCAGCAGUAGGGAAUCUUCAGCAGUGGGCGCAGGCCUGACGGAGCAACGCCGCGUGAGUGAUGAAGGUCUUCGGAUCGUAAAACUCUGUUAUUAGGGAAGAACAAAUGUGUAAGUAACUAUGCACGUCUUGACGGUACCUAAUCAGAAAGCCACGGCUAACUUCGUG